rnacentral:rRNA from 1 species
UAGUCCACGCCGUAAACGAUGUCAACUAGCCGUUGGGAGACUUGAUUUCUUAGUGGCGCAGCUAACGCACUAAGUUGACCGCCUGGGGAGUACGGCCGCAAGGUUAAAACUCAAAUGAAUUGACGGGGGCCCGCACAAGCGGUGGAGCAUGUGGUUUAAUUCGAUGCAACGCGAAGAACCUUACCAAGCCUUGACAUCCUGCGAACUUUCUAGAGAUAGAUUGGUGCCUUCGGGAACGCAGUGACAGGUGCUGCAUGGCUGUCGUCAGCUCGUGUCGUGAGAUGUUGGGUUAAGUCCCGUAACGAGCGCAACCCCUGUCCUUAGUUGCUAGCAGGUUAUGCUGAGAACUCUAAGGAGACUGACGGUGACAAACCGUAGGAAGGUGGGGACGACGUCAAGUCAUCAUGGCCCUUACGGGCUUGGGGCUACACACGUGCUACAAUGGGAACGCACAGAGGGGCA